GACGAGCGCUGGCGGCGUGCCUAAUACAUGCAAGUCGAGCGCAGGAAACUGACGGAACUCUUCGGAGGGAAGGCAGUGGAAUGAGCGGCGGACGGGUGAGUAACACGUAAGGAACCUGCCUCAAGGAUUGGGAUAACUCCGAGAAAUCGGAGCUAAUACCGGAUAGUUCAACGGACCGCAUGGUCCGCUGAUGAAAGGCGCUCCGGCGUCACCUUGAGAUGGCCUUGCGGUGCAUUAGCUCGUUGGUGGGGUAACGGCCCACAAAGGCGACGAUGCAUAGCCGACCUGAGAGGGUGAUCGGCCACACUGGGACUGAGACACGGCCCAGACUCCUACGGGAGGCAGCAGUAGGGAAUCUUCCACAAUGGACGAAAGUCUGAUGGAGCAACGCCGCUUGAGUGAUGAAGGUUUUCGGAUCGUAAAACUCUGUUGUAAGGGAAGAACACGUACGAGAGGAAAUGCUCGUACCUUGACGGUACCUUACGAGAAAGCCACGGCUAACUACGUGCCAGCCGCCGCCGUAACAC
rnacentral:rRNA from 1 species